rnacentral:rRNA from 1 species
GACGAACGCUGGCGGCGUGCUUAACAAAUGCAAGUCGAGCGAUGAAGCUUCUUCGGAAGUGGAUUAGCGGCGGACGGGCGAGUAACACGUGGGCAACCUGCCGUGUAGCGGGGGAUAGACUUCCGAAAGGAAGAUUAAUACCGCAUAACAUAGCGAACUCGAACGGGUUUGCUAUCAAAGAUUUAUCGCUACAAGAUGGGCCCGCGUCGCAUUAGCUAAUUGGUGAGGUAACAGCUCACCAAGGCCACGAUGCGUAGCCGACCUGAGAGGGUGAUCGGCCACAUUGGAACUAAGACACGGUCCAGACUCCUACGGGAGGCAGCAGUGGGGAAUAUUGCACAAUGGGCGAAAGCCUGAUGCAGCAACGCCGCGUGAGUGAUGAAGGUCUUCGGAUUGUAAAGCUCUUUGAUUAGGGACGAUAAUGACGGUACCUAAAGAACAAGCCACGGCUAACUACGUGCCAGCCGCCGCAGUAA